UACAGAGGGUGCAAGCGUUAAUCGGAAUUACUGGGCGUAAAGCGAGCGUAGGUGGUCAUUUAAGUCAGAUGUGAAAGCCCCGGGCUUAACCUGGGAACUGCAUCUGAUACUGGGUGACUAGAGUAGGUGAGAGGGAAGUAGAAUUCCAGGUGUAGCGGUGAAAUGCGUAGAGAUCUGGAGGAAUACCGAUGGCGAAGGCAGCUUCCUGGCAUCAUACUGACACUGAGGUUCGAAAGCGUGGGUAGCAAACAGG
rnacentral:misc_RNA from 1 species